rnacentral:rRNA from 1 species
CCUACGGGGGGCAGCAGUGGGGAAUAUUGGACAAUGGGGGCAACCCUGAUCCAGCCAUGCCGCGUGUGUGAAGAAGGCCUCGGGUUGUAAAGCACUUUCAGUGAGGAAGAACGCCUGGUGGUUAAUACCCAUCAGGAAAGACAUCACUCACAGAAGAAGCACCGGCUAACUCCGUGCCAGCAGCCGCGGUAAUACGGAGGGUGCGAGCGUUAAUCGGAAUUACUGGGCGUAAAGCGCGCGUAGGUGGCUUGAUAAGCCGGUUGUGAAAGCCCCGGGCUCAACCUGGGAACGGCAUCCGGAACUGUCAAGCUAGAGUGCAGGAGAGGAAGGUAGAAUUCCCGGUGUAGCGGUGAAAUGCGUAGAGAUCGGGAGGAAUACCAGUGGCGAAGGCGGCCUUCUGGACUGACACUGACACUGAGGUGCGAAAGCGUGGGUAGCAAACAGGAUUAGAUACCCCGGUAGUC